GUGGGCCUUGAGGUAUUAUGCCAAAUGAGAUGAGUCAGACAAAUACUGCAUAGUAUCACUUAUAUGUGGAACCAAAAAAAAAAAAAAAAGAAAAGAAAAGAAAAAAAAAUUAAGUCAAAUUCAUGGAAACAGUAGAAACCUGGAAACAGUAGGAGGUGGUUACCAGAGACUGGUCAAGGGGAAGGAGGGGUUAUGGAGAGGUUGAUAAAAGGAAACAAACUUUCACCUAUAAGAAGAUAUCCGGCCUCUUCUUAUUUAGCAGAAAAAGUUCUCUGCUGCUACAAUCAUCAUCAAGGGAAGGAAAAGAGCCAAUUAGUUCCCUGUUCUGUGAGAUCUAUGCUCUAUCUUCUGUGGCCCGCACCCAGCUUUGUGGCAUGAUGACAGUCUUCGGCAACUAAUUAUACUCCAAGGAGCUGAGGCAAAGAGUUAGGAAAAGUUUGCAAAGAAGCAAAUUAAUGUCAUCCCUUGGGGGGAUUUCAGAGCUGGGAAUUCUCUGACCUCCUUGAGAUCCCCAGGAGCUACAGACCUAGAGGUUCCAAGAAGCGAAGUGACUUGUGUAUAGAACCGCAGGCAAAUCGGGUCCGUCUGACUCCAAAGCAGUUUCUGAGGAUCAGGAAUCUUGGAGUGGCUUAGCUGGCAGGUCUGGCUCAAGGUCUCCCAGGAGGCUACAGUCAGCCUGUAAGCCGGGGCUGCAAUCAUCUGAAGGCCUGACUGGAGUUGGAGACUCUACUUCCAAGACCACCUGGCUGCCGGCAAGAGGUUCAGUUCCUCGCCACGUGGGCCGCUCCCUGGGUUGCUCGCGAGAGUGAGCUGCAGAGAUGUUUACAACCUAAACAUCUGAGAUGUUUACGACCUAAUCUCAGAAGCAACACACCAUCACUUCUGCUACAUUCUGCUGGUCACACAGACCAACCCUGGUACAAGGCCCAAGGGGACCACCUGGCUAUGAGGACCAGAGAUUGAACCAAGAAUGGCUUCCUCCGCCCAGUCCUCUGGCGCCAUCUAGUGGCCACAUCCGAAAUGGCUGCCCCAGCCAACGCUUCUCCGUUUUGGGGUCCAAGGAUUUACCUGCCUUCAGGAAAGUGACUAGGAUGAUUUUCCUCAGAAGUCCCAGAGAUCGACAUCCAGCUCCAGAAAGGAGCUGUGGAACCCCGGAAGGGAUGGAUGAGCUGUCAGAAUUUUUGAGACCAGGGACUAAACUUGCCUCCUCCUUCUGCUCCGCAGAUGUCAACCAGCCCUGCUCCCUGGCAGGGCAACACUCAGCCAGAAGCACGAAGGUGCUCCCUUGUUUCCUCCAGCUUUACUGCUCAGAACCUAACGUCCAAAAACUUAACGUUUUUUAACAAACUGCUAGCAGCAAGAGGGGCUCAAAACCGGCCUCAGGUUCACGCUCAUUUUAAAGAACUUUGUAAAACUUGACAAAUAUAUUUAAAACUCUGUUGUAGCUACUUU